rnacentral:rRNA from 1 species
AACGUAGGAGGCUAGCGUUAUUCGGAUUUAUUGGGCGUAAAGCGCGUGCAGGCGGUCUAGCAAGUUGGAUGUGAAAGCUCCUGGCUCAACUGGGAGAGGUCGUUCAAUACUGUUAGACUAGAGAAUGGGAGAGGGAGGUGGAAUUCCGGGUGUAGUGGUGAAAUGCGUAGAUAUCCGGAGGAACACCAGUGGCGAAAGCGGCCUCCUGGACCAUUUCUGACGCUAAGACGCGAAAGCUAGGGUAG